rnacentral:rRNA from 1 species
AUUGAACGCUGGCGGCAGGCCUAACACAUGCAAGUCGAACGAGUGGCGGACGGGUGGGUAAUGUCUGGGCAACUGCCUGAUGGAGGGGGAUAACGACUGGAAACGUUAGCUAAAACCGCAUACCAUCGGAUGUGCCCAGAUGGGAUUAGCUAGCAGGUGGGGUAAAGGCUCACCUAGGCGACGAGCCCUAGCUGGGCUGAGAGGAUGACCAGCCACCCUGCAACUGAGACACGGACCAGACUCUUACGGGAGGCAGCAGUGGGGAAUAUUGCACAAUGGGCGCAAGCCUGAUGCAGCAAUGCCGCGUGUAUGAAGAAGGCUUUCGGGUUGGAAAGUACUUUCAGCGGGGAGGCGUUACCCGAAGAAGAAGCACCGGCUAACUCCGUGCCAGCAGCCGGGGUAAUAC